CUUUGGGAGGCUGAGGCGGGAGGAUCGCUUGAGCCCAGGAGUUGGAAGCUGCAGUGAGCUGUGAGCGUGCCACUGCACUCCAGCCUGGGUGACAGAGCAAGACCCUGUCUCUAAAAGAAAAAAAAAACGAAAAACAAAAAAGCUGUGUUUCAGGAUGGCAUUUGGGUAAAGAGGUCAAACACUCUUUCUUUUAAGAGCCUGGGACAUUUCUUUUUCUUCUUCUUGCUUCCUAAUCAGUGGUUUCUUGCCCUUCAUAGGAGCCCAGGGCACGGAGUGUCUGGGCCUGGAAUGCGGACAUGUGUGGGAGGGAUGCGAAACUGUGCUGGCAGCCCCAAGAAAAGAAUCAGUCUUUGUCCUCAUCUUCACAUGCACCUGUCGUCCCAAACCCUUGACAAACAUUGUGUCAUUCACCUUCCAAACCUCUCUGCGGAUUCAGCCUGGGCGGGCGGGAGCACAGUGAGCCACAUUCUCUGCAUUCCCGCCUCCUGACAGCUCCUGGUACCACAGCCGCUGAGCUGGGAUGUCCAAACAUUCCAACUGACUCAUCCGUGGGGCUUAUUGCUGCUGCAUCAGAUGGGCUGCCUGAACAGUUCAGGACUUCCUUUCAUCGGACCCAGCCAGUGCCUUGCACAGAACCCAUUCCCAAGAAGAUUUGCAGUGUGAAAAUGGACCAUACUGUGGAAUAAGAGAGCAGAAAGUCAUCUAAUCUACUCCCCAGGCUUUAGGCAGCACGGUGUCAAAACCAACCUAGAUUUCCAGAAUAGAUCGUUCUACCACCUCCUCUGGAAUUUGAAUGCCAUCGAAUGCAACCUGAGUCUAUUUUCUUUUAUUCUAUGUUGACUGAGGACAACUAUUUUCUUGUUUAAAAAAAAACCAAAACAUUAAAAUAGCAUUUUAAGGUUAAUUGACAAUGUUAAUAAGUGGCAAACUUAGGCCUCAAAUAGAAGAUGAUAAGUAACUUGAAAUGUUUGGAAAAAGAUGAUCUAUAUUUAAUAAAACUCCAUCAGUGAGUGAAAAGUUUCAUUAUUAGCAUUUUCACUGUUCUGUCUCUCAUAGUCUACAGUUAUAUUAGCAAACUUGCAUUUCACUUUAUGGAAACUUGUCUCCAUUAUGAUUUAGUUCAAUGGUUUCCUUCUCAUACUAUUUCAGCUAGAGAGUCAUUUCAUUAUGCUGGGAAGUUUCUGAACAUGUAAUGUAAUUAAUUCCUUUAAUAGACUCCUCUUUAUGGAAGACCCAUUAGUAGACAUCACUGUGAAUUAACAUCUUAGUCCAGGAAAAAAGCUCUUUGGAGGCAACAGUGAAACAGCUAAAUCUUUGUUGAGAGAUGCGACCAGAGGAUUUAACCGCAUUCCUUGUGGUUUCAGAAUGACAUGCAUAUUCUGGGACCCACAGAUAGGGAGAGAUACUUGUCAUUCUCAGUAAUGCCCUGACCACACCAAUUCUUUAACAUACAGAGAUAGUUCUAAAUGUUAUAAUUUCUUAGAAGAAAACAUCAUGGGGUUGUGCACAUUGAAGGCAGGGGAAUGAAGUGAAAAUCUGCCCACUGGCUAAUGCCUAUGAAGUAAGGCUACUGGCUUUCUUUUAACUGACAAGUUAAAAGUACACUUGAAGGCUUCUGGACAACUUCCUUCUAUAUCAACCUACUAAGGAUUGGUCUUCCCUCUGAAUCUCGAUGAAUAGCAAUGAACUCUUUCUGUGUGGGUCUGAAUAUUUUCUUAUAUUAUUUUUACAUAUGAUCACUGGAAGCCGAUUGUUCUGAGUUCAAAAUUCUGACUUUGCUAUGUACUAACUGUGUGACCUUCAUCAAGUGAUUUAACUUCUCUGUAUCUUAGAUAUCUUAUCAGAAAUUGAGAUAAAAGCAGUACCUGCUUCAGUUGGUGAAGAGGAUUAAAUGAAUGAGCACAUGUAGGUGCUUAAUGGAGUGUCUGGCCUGGAGUAAGUGCCACUGAUGUUGACUGGUAUUGUGAUUAACUCUGCUGAGUGGAGGUCCCACCACGGGCAUGCAGGCCUGUAACACGAAAGCUGAAAAACUCUGACAAAGCAGAGGAGUUGGUGCCUGGGCCUGGGGAGGGUGGGCUGGCGGCAAAGGGACACAAGGGAACUUCUGGGGUGACAGAAAUACUCUAUAUAGUGGUUACCCCAGUGUAAGUUAAAAAACAUUCAAACAAUUGUUUCCCUGAUUAUCCCAUUUAAUAUACUAGUCCAGGCUCUAAUCGCCUUACAUCUGUAUUAAUGCAAUAGUCUCCUGGUUGAUUUUUCUGUCCCUGAGCUCUUUCUUUUUUAAUUCCUCCUUGGCGUACCCAUGCUCACUCCCAUUUCUGGGGCUACUUCAAUAAUCAUGCCUAGAACAGUAUAUGAGCCAUUUGUUUAAAAGGGAGGGAAAGAAAUAAAUGUGCGUAAGCAAGUAUGUUUGCUUGUUUAUGCCUAAAAUAGCUCUGGAAAGACAUAUGAGAAAGCGUUUAUGUUAGUUCCCUAUGGGGAAGGAAACUGGAUGGCUGAGGGACU
rnacentral:lncRNA from 1 species